ensembl:snoRNA
AAGACUAUACUUUCAGGGAUCAUUUCUACAGUUUCUGACUUGAGAAAUGUGUUUCUAAAGUGUUUGGUCUCGCUAACCACGAUGAUGAGUCGUGAUAUUUCCUUCUGAGCAUGAAGCUGAUAGAGAAUAAUGAUACAGUUCAUGUUCUGUGUCAUUGAUGACUGUUCAUUGUUUCCUAGAGGAGCAUUGAGGAAGGGAAUAUGAUCAGAGUGGUG